GGCCUGGUGGUGAAGUGGUAACACAGGGGUCUGCAAAACCUCGACGCGCGGGUUCGAUUCCCGCCCAGGCCUCAA
rnacentral:tRNA from 1 species